rnacentral:rRNA from 1 species
UACGGGGGGGAGCAAGCGUUGUUCGGAUUUACUGGGCGUAAAGGGCGCGUAGGCGGCCACUGCAAGUCGGUUGUGAAAUCUCCGGGCUUAACCCGGAAAGGUCAAUCGAUACUGCAGGGCUAGAGUGCAGAAGGGGCAACUGGAAUUCUCGGUGUAGCGGUGAAAUGCGUAGAUAUCGAGAGGAACACCUGCGGCGAAGGCGGGUUGCUGGGCUGACACUGACGCUGAGACACGAAAGCGUGGGUAGCAAACAGG